AGAGCUGUCCUUAGUACGAGAGGACCGGGAUGGACCGACCUAUGGUGUACCAGUUGUUUCGCCAGAAGCAUAGCUGGGUAGCUAAGUCGGGACGGGAUAAACGCUGAAAGCAUCUAAGCGUGAAGCCUCCUUCAAGAUGAGAUUUCCCAUAGCGUAAGCUAGUAAGACCCCUUGAAGACUACAAGGUUGAUAGGUCAGAGGUGUAAGUGUGGCAACAUAUUUAGCUGACUGAUACUAAUAGGUCGAGGGCUUGACCAAUAA
rnacentral:rRNA from 1 species